rnacentral:rRNA from 1 species
CUACGGGGGGCAGCAGUAAAGAAUCUUCCACAAUGGGCGAAAGCCUGAUGGAGCGACACCGCGUGCCAGAUGACGGCCUUCGGGUUGUAAAUGGCUUUUCUGGGGGAAUAAUUCUGAAGGUACCCUAGGAAUAAGCACCGGCUAACUCCGUGCCAGCAGCCGCGGUAAUACGGAGGGUGCAAACGUUACCCGGAAUUAUUGGGCGUAAAGCGUCCGCAGGCGGCGUGAUAAGUUAGAUGUUAAACCUCGGGGCUCAACUCCGAGUCUGUAUCUAAAACUGUCAUGCUAGAGUCUUGGAGAGGCGAGUGGAAUUCUACAUGUAGGGGUAAAAUCCGUAGAUAUGUAGAGGAACACCAAAAGCGAAGGCAGCUCGCUGGCCAAGUACUGACGCUCAUGGACGAAAGCGUAGGUAGCAAACGGGAUUAGAUACCCCAGUAGUC